AUCCAUAUGACGAGUAGUCACAAAUAGGACGAAAUGCGCAUCCUGGAU
rnacentral:hammerhead_ribozyme from 1 species